UACGUAGGGGGCAAGCGUUGUCCGGAAUCAUUGGGCGUAAAGCGCGCGUAGGCGGCCCGGUAAGUCCGCUGUAAAAGUCCAGGGCUCAACCCUGGAAAGCCGGUGGAUACUGUCGGGCUAGAGUCCGGAAGAGGCGAGUGGAAUUCCUGGUGUAGCGGUGGAAUGCGCAGAUAUCAGGAGGAACACCGAUGGCGAAGGCAGCUCGCUGGGACGGUACUGACGCUGAGGCGCAA
rnacentral:rRNA from 1 species